CCCAGCUCGUCAUGCUAGAGCACUUUUUCAAUGGGCUCCCGAACGACAAGGCGACGACGCAUUCGUAUGUCAUCAACUUUCGAUGCCACUUUCUGCGCCUACCAUGGUGACCACAGGUAACGGUGAAUCAGGUUUCGAUUCCGGAGAGGGAGCCUGAGAAAUGGCUACCACGUGCAAGGAAGGCAGCAGGCGUGCAAAUGACCCACUCCCGCCGCGGGAAGGUAGUGACG